rnacentral:rRNA from 1 species
AGUUUGAUCCUGGCUCAGGAUGAACGCUAGCUACAGGCUUAACACAUGCAAGUCGAGGGGCAGCGGUAUCGAAAGCUUGCUUUCGGUAGCCGGCGACCGGCGCACGGGUGAGUAACGCGUAUCGAACCUGCCUCAUACUCGGGAAUAGCCUUGCGAAAGUAAGAUUAAUGCCCGGGUUUCAAGUCCCCCAGGGGCUAACCAAAAUUUUUGGGUAGGAAGCGUUCCUCCCUUAGUGUUGGGGGGGGAACGCCCACAAAGCCACGAGGGUAGGGUUUUGGGAGAAGUCCCCCACUUGGAAAUGGGCCCGGUCCAAAUUCCUGGGGGAGCCGCAGUGAGAAUUUUGCCAAUGGCGGAACCCUGACCCACCCAAGUAGCGCCAGGAAGCCGCCCUCCGGGUUGUAACUGCUUUUAGUGGGAAUAAAACGGGGUUCGUGACCCCCCUUGCAUGUACCCUCAGAAAAAGGACCGGCUAAUUCCGUGCCAGCAGCCGCGGUAAUACGGAAGGUCCGGGCGUUAUCCGGAUUUAUUGGGUUUAAAGGGAGCGCAGGCGGACCUUUAAGUCAGCUGUGAAAUACGGCGGCUCAACCGUCGAACUGCAGUUGAUACUGGAGGUCUUGAGUGCACACAGGGAUGCUGGAAUUCAUGGUGUAGCGGUGAAAUGCUCAGAUAUCAUGAAGAACUCCGAUCGCGAAGGCAGGCAUCCGGGGUGCAACUGACGCUGAGGCUCGAAAGUGCGGGUAUCAAACAGGAUUAGAUACCCUGGUAGUCCGCACAGUAAACGAUGAAUACUCGCGGUUUGCGAUAUAGUGUAAGCCGCCAAGCGAAAGCGUUAAGUAUUCCACCUGGGGAGUACGCCGGCAACGGUGAAACUCAAAGGAAUUGACGGGGGCCCGCACAAGCGGAGGAACAUGUGGUUUAAUUCGAUGAUACGCGAGGAACCUUACCCGGGCUUGAACUGCCAGCGGCGGAUGCAGAGACGCAUCUUUCUUCGGACGCUGGCGGAGGUGCUGCAUGGUUGUCGUCAGCUCGUGCCGUGAGGUGUCGGCUUAAGUGCCAUAACGAGCGCAACCCUCAUCCUCGUUUGCCAUCAGGUGAUGCUGGGCACUCCGGGGACACUGCCAUCGUAAGAUGUGAGGAAGGUGGGGAUGACGUCAAAUCAGCACGGCCCUUACGUCCGGGGCUACACACGUGUUACAAUGGGCGGUACAGAGGGCAGCCACUGUGCGAGCAGGAGCCAAUCCUCAAAGCCGUUCUCAGUUCGGACUGGAGUCUGCAACCCGACUCCACGAAGCUGGAUUCGCUAGUAAUCGCGCAUCAGCCAUGGCGCGGUGAAUACGUUCCCGGGCCUUGUACACACCGCCCGUC